GUGUAUUCCAACGGGAACGCCACGGUGUCUCCGCUGAAGUUAUUCGGAGGAUUAAAUUUUGCUUCGUACACACGACAGUGUCUGGGCUUUAGCUGCGCGGUCUUUUCCUGGACCAAAAUCCUGUUCCAGAGUCCCUCUGAAGCUCCCUCAAAGAAAUCUUCAGAAUCCUUACCGACCACAUGAAAACUUCCAGAAGUAUUUUUAAUUGCCUUUACUAAAGAGGCCUGUUAAUGGUUUAGUUUACAUUGGCUAGUGACAUCAGAAGAAGAUGUUAGAUGGGUGUAGCAGCAGAUGUUAAAAAUAGUGAGGCCACAUCCUGCACCUCAGCUGAUGACAGAAAUCGUGACGAGCUGUUAUUUCUGCUUCAGAAAUCCACAAAGUACCCUCAGCAUAACUGCCUGAGUGCCAUCGGGAUGAACACUCACCCAGAUUUCCUGGAAGAGUAUCAAAGCUGUCUCAGCUCUGAUACAUUUGUUUGGCAGCGAUCUGUCCCACUCACUCCGUGAGAUUUCAGUCACUCAGCAGGCACCGUGUCACCACUUCUCCAGCUCUGGAACUGGGAGCUUGACAAAUGCAGCUCUUUGAAGACAUUAAGAGAUGUCACCAUGCUCUGAACAAACAAGAUGGGAGCAAGAAAAUAAGUAAAUUGAACAAGAAAAAAAAAAGUAAAUAAAAUAAAGUAAAUAAA